GAGAACGACCAUACCAACAUGUCAGCACUACUUCCAAUCUGCUCAGCGAAGUUAAGCAUGGUCGAGCAUGGUUAGUACUACGUUGGGGGACUACAUUGGAAUCAAUUCCAGGUGAUGUUCUUU
rnacentral:rRNA from 1 species